AAGAAGCACGUGGAGGUUUGUUAAAGGUAGUGGGAGGCAUAGUUUUUGGCAAUAGCCAGCCAAGGAUCCAGGGAACAGGUGCACACUGAGUUCACGUAGUGGAUGUCUGGCUGAGAGAGAAGGAGGAAACCCUAACAACGCUCCUUCCAGCUUUGAUCUGCCUGGGGCAGCCUGUGGUGGAAGAUGACGCUGGUGUCUACCAGCAUCUGGAGUGGGAGCCACAAGAAUCACAUAGACAGGCACCCAGCCCUAUGCCAGCUAUGUAUGUGGGAGUUGGCUGGCUCUGGAGAAGAGCUGUUGGCAGUGCAGGUGGCUGGUGACAAGGAUGGAGCGUGAGGCCUCGAGACAGGAUGUCAGGCAGUACAGAAGCCUCGGCGCUCAGCAGAGCUGCGGUCCUGGCUGUUCUGAGGCCUUAGGUGGCGUUGGAAUUUACUAGCCAAAGCAUGCGGUGUGACCUGAAUGUACCUCCCCAAUAGAUACCAGCAGUUCAUUAUAAAUGGCUGGCUGAGUAACUGGGGCGCAAGGAGAGGACCUGCCCCCUUCUGUCUUCUUUUCUGCUAGCCUCUGACACCCUGAGUCAUGUGAGGACCCACCUCUCCCUUGAUGGAGACCACAGGAGGACUCAGGAUCCCCUGGGAGUGGAGUUACAGCUGGUUGAGAGCCACAUGAGUGCUGGGAAUCAACCUUGGAGCCUCUGGUAAAAGCAGCGAGUCUCAACCACGACACAUCGCUCCAGCCCCAUGUGGAGCACUGCUCAAGUCUGUUAAAAUCACUGGGCCUGGUGACAACGUAUGUCAGUCCUGCCUCAGCCUCCUGAAUGCGUGGUUACAGGUGUGCACCACUGCACCUGACUCAAGUUUUAAACAUUCCUUCUCAUGGUCAUUUCCCUGUAAAUCAGCAGAGACACUGGGGAAUGGAGCAAUGUGACUCCCAUGGCUGUUGGAGUCUCCUUUACUGCCCUGUCCGUCUUGAGCAACACUAGGCUUUGCCUGUACUUGUCUGCUUCUAGAGUGUGCUGAGCUGGUAAUGCAAAGGAGCAGCAGCUGAGUGGCAGUGAUGACGCCUUUAAUCCCAGCCCUCAGGAGGCAGAGGCAGGCGGAUCUGAGUCUGAGGCCAGCCUGGGCUAC
ensembl:processed_transcript D030028A08Rik RIKEN cDNA D030028A08 gene